UACAGGGGGGGCAAGUAUUAUUCUACAUGACUGGGCGUAAAGGAUACGUAGGUGGUUCUAUAAAUAUUAAAAAGAAAUGCUAUAAAAAAAUUAUAGAUAAUUUUAAUAAAAUAUGGGACUUUGAGUUUAUAAAAGAUAAAAGAAUAUGCAAUUAGAGUAAAUGUGAAAUGUAUAGAGACUAGAGGGAAUUCCAAAUGGCGAAAGCAUUUAUCUUGCUAAAACUGACACUGAUGUAUGAAGGUAUGGGGAUCAAAUAGG
rnacentral:rRNA from 1 species